GACGAACGCUGGCGGCGUGCUUAACACAUGCAAGUCGAACGGAAAGGCCCCUUCGGGGGUACUCGAGUGGCGAACGGGUGAGUAACACGUGAGUAACCUGCCCUUGACUUCGGGAUAACUUCAGGAAACUGGGGCUAAUACCGGAUGGGAAUCCUUACUGCAUGGUGGGGGUUGGAAAGCUUCGGCGGUUUUGGAUGGACUCGCGGCUUAUCAGCUUGUUGGUGGGGUAGUGGCUUACCAAGGCUUUGACGGGUAGCCGGCCUGAGAGGGCGACCGGCCACAUUGGGACUGAGAUACGGCCCAGACUCCUACGGGAGGCAGCAGUGGGGAAUAUUGCACAAUGGGCGGAAGCCUGAUGCAACAACGCCGCGUGCGGGAUGACGGCCUUCGGGUUGUAAACCGCUUUCAGCAGGGGCGAAGCUUGUGGUGACGGUACCUGCAGAAGAAGCACCGGCUAACUACGUG
rnacentral:rRNA from 1 species